GUGUCAGCAGCCGCGGUAAGACAGAGGGUGCAAACGUUGUUCGGAAUUACUGGGCGUAAAGCGCGUGUAGGCGGUCAGGCAAGUCGGAUGUGAAAUCCCGUGGCUCAACUACGGAAGUGCACCCGAAACUGCUUGACUUGAGUCCCGGAGAGGAAGGCGGAAUGCUUGGUGUAGAGGUGAAAUUCGUAGAUAUCAAGCGGAACACCGGUGGCGAAGGCGGCCUUCUGGGCGAGGACUGACGCUGAGACGCGAAAGCGUGGGGAGCAAACAGGAUUAGAUACCCCAGUAGUCC
rnacentral:rRNA from 1 species